rnacentral:lncRNA from 1 species
CGACGAUCCCUUGAAAAAAGUCCUUUGUUGAGCCGGCUUUCGCCCCUGACAAAGGACUUUCCCUGGGUUGGGACUCUUUGGACAGGACUAGUUGCUUCGAUUCCACUCAUGUCAGCUCAUAACUUCGCUCCUCGAUCGCUUUAUCUUUCUAGUGAUCUAGUGAUGCGGGAAGGGAAUGAUAAUUAGACUCCUAUAGCAGUUCGGGAGCAUCGGCAUCUAUUUGGUAGAAUAUAACGACCUGAUCUCUUUGCUUUCGAUGGCUGCUCGGGGCUGAAACAUAGUGGAAAUGCGAAUAUGAUCGAUCCCGGCUCAUAAGAAGUACGGAGGUUCUUGUAAGUUGGGUCAGCGGUUCCAGUGACUCAAGGAAUAGGGCAUUUUGGCACUGUUGAAGUGAUUGGCGGAAAUGCCCUUGAGACGAGAAUCCCGUUGAAAUGGAAAGUCCUUGGUCUACAUACAUUAGUAGUAGGUUACGCUCCUAUUAUUGAAAAGGAGUUAUCCUCCUC